AACGAUGAUGUCCUAAUGGCCAAGGCAGGAAAAUGUUUGACGAAGAAAAGGGUGAUCAGUCAUGACAGAUGCUACUGAGAGGUCAGUAAAAUGAGAACUGAGAAUUGCACACUGGGCAUGUGACAAUAAUGUCAUCUAGAAUUGUGAAAAUAAGAGCCUGCCUUGAAUGGGUGGAUAUAAGAUAAAGGAAGUAGGGAAGAGAGCCAGCAGCUUCAGCAUUAACUUAAAGUUAAAUAAACUUAAAGUUAUACUCUUUGAUAUAGUUGUUUAUUUUUAACUGCAUUUUGUCAAAUCUCAAGGUUUAUGUAUGGGAAUGACAUAUUUGUUUAAAACCAAUUUGGGGUUUGACAGUGGAAGGAGAUGGGGGCAAGGAUAUUGAAAUGGAGUUAUGUAGGUUCUGAUGAUGAUGGACAAUAAAAUCUAAGUCAGCUAAGAAGAGGGUGAGGGCAUAAGGAGGACUGUGGUCAAUAGAAAUGUGAUAUGGUUUAUUCACUGGAGAUCCUAAGAUAUCAAGAAAAGAAUAAAGUAAUAGCAGAGGUACUAAAAGAGCUUGAACGUUACAAGGUAGUAACUGGACUGAAGUGUCUGUAGUGUGGUUUUUGGAAGUGAUAUGGUAGUUGGCAAUGAAGUAGUCUAAGGUAUGAAGAAAUAAAUAUGGAUUGUGAAAAUUAGGAGUUGGUUAACAAAGCAAGAAAUCAUUCUGGCAACUGGAUCAUCUACAUGUGUACUGAUAUCACCUCCAAUAAUGGCAAUGAUAUUACACAUAAAAUCAAUGUCAGGUACCACCAUCAUCAAUGAAGGGAAGGAGGCUAUUAGAAGAGUGUAAAUAACAAAAGUAAGGAGGGCUCCUUUAUGGUGAAAAUUUUAAUUUUAGGUUAUAGGAAAAAGAGAGGAAAAGUACUUGGGAAAGUAUCAAUGAGAAGUUUAAAGUAUUCUUUAUGCACUCCAAGACUAGUGGUAUAUGAAAUAUGAAAGGAAGAGAAGAAAAAUUAUCACUUGAUAGGGUGUCAGAGAAGAGUUUCCAGGGGUCAGCUCAUUUUUCUAUUCUAGGAAAGGAAGGGAAUAUGCAGAGUACCAGAAGAUUUCGGGAAUCUAGAAGAUGUAGGAUCUUGAGUUCCUUGAGGGCAUGUUCAGAAGAGUGGAUGCAUGUAGAUCCUGAUGAAAAGAGUUGACCUGGGCUCUCUGCCAGGAUGGAAGAAAGAAGAUAUGGAGUCUAAUGGUAUUGGGCUGGUUGGCUCUUAGUUUUGGUGGUACAUCCAAGGACAGGAGGGAAAUGGUAUCUUCUGCAUAUAACCCUAUUGGGGCAAUGGUUUCCUAGUCAGUUAUUAAAGGUGAAGCAAAGAGUAUUGGAGGACGGGGUGGGCAGUGACUGACCUACCAGGAGUACAAUGGGUCAUAUAGGACCGAGACCAUUCAGAGUACAGUGGGUGUACAUUUGACCUCCAUUUGACCUAAGUUGGACUCAACUGAGUAGCACUGGGGACCAUGGAGGACCAGUCUAAAUAAAUUGCAAGGGUCAGGACUCAGAUUCUGAGCUCUGAUUAGCUGAGAGCUCUUGUUCUCCUAUCAGUGAGGUACCUUCAUUUAUAAAAUUGAUGUAUUAUGUCCCAAUUGUCCAAAGUAAAAAUGAUAAUUGGGAGGAAUCUAAGAUUCAGUACAAUUUUCCCCAAGGUGGAAGAGGAGAGGAUCCCAGUGUGUGAUACAAACAAGAACCUGAUAACCUGCCAAGAUCUUCAGCUAUGCGGACAGUGGGUCACACAGAAACAAAGAUCAAGUGAUACAGUGUCCCCACAGACAGAGUGUUGGGUAGGUGGGUGUCUUGGUUCCCAGCAGCCGUAAUGGUAGUUUUGCUAAGCCAUUGGAAAGCAGGGAUGGGAACCCCGUAUUUCCUCUUAGUCUGGGAUCCUGACUUGAUCCAGUGAACUUGUUGCUUCUGAUGGCCUUGCUCUAGAAUCUGGAGUAAUGAUUCUCAAACCUGGUUUCAGAGAGAAUCACCUGGGCCAGCAAUGAUAUUCAGAUUCUACCUCAGAACAAUUAAAUCAGAAUCUUUGGGGCCCUGGCAUUGAUAAUUUUCACAAGUUUCCCAGAUGAUUCUUAUGUAUAUAACUCUGGUUAAGAACUAUAGUCUAAGGCUCUGAUUCUGUCCAACCUCUUUGGUUUAACAAAUAAGUUGGCUACUGCUGCAGGCCUCUGACAUCUAACUCCUUUCUAGAAUCCUGAAUUUUAUUUUUCAGUGACAUAUAGUUUCUGCAGACUGGUCAUCUCUCUCUCUCUCUCUCUCUCUCACACACACACACACACACACACCUNUGUCCUGCUCCUGUACACAGAUUGUGACCUGGUGAGACCUGGUCUAGGAACAGGGAUGCGUACAGCAGAGAAAGUUUGCCAAAACUGGGUGCCUGAUUGAGACAGACACUUGUGGUCUGCUUUGUGGACUGGGGUGCCCAACAAAGUAAGCUACAUUUGCGGGUGGCCUCUUUGCUUUCUCCCCUGCUCUGGUUCUGCUUCUAAGCCUCCACAGGCACAUUCUUCAUAGUUGAGAAAAGCCAAGGAUGGAAUGACUGUUACUGGUGUUUGUCAGUUCAGAAACAUGCUGUGAUUUGCCUGGCAUUUCAAUCUUUACCAUUGAUGUGUUGGUUUAAUUGAAUUAGUUCUGUGCUAGAUGAGGUCAUUAAAUUUGUAUCCUAGUGGAAAGCUAUUGCUCAGCUCUGCAUAGUGAGGGGUGUAUAUGAGAUGAUUUGCAUUCUUUCUGGACAGGGGUGAAUUCUCUCACCGUGCUCAUGGUGGGCAGUGCUUCCUCCUGCAGAAAGUCAUUUGAGAUAACACUAAUUGAAAGUAUACCUGUCUCUUGAGAAAUCUUUUAAAAAUUCAAUAGCGCAUCGGCUGUAUGCUCUGACAAAAGGAUAAAAAGUGUUGUCCUUAUAAAAUGCAAAUUUUGGAGAAAAAGCGAAGUAUCAUAGCCAAAACUGUACAUGGAUAUCAGAGAGUUCUUUUUCAUUUGUUAACUGCUUUCCUCCUGGAACCAAAUUUAAAGAAAUUCAUCCCACUACCUAUGCCUUUUUUCCUGAGUUCAUAGAAAGGAAAGUGAAAAGUAAAGAUGAAAUUACAUCUAUUUCCCUCCUGAAGUAAGCUCUCAUUUAAUCUCUGUGGUAACACUAAUGAGAUAAUAUUAUUUUACAAGGGUACUAUUAGCAUUCUCAUUUUUGGGUAAGGAAACUGAGGCUGCAAGCUGCCAAAUACCUUGCUCAUGUCAUUGCUUAUAGCAAACAGCACAUAUGGACUCAGACCCCCUAAUUGAUUGAUCUGAAUCUCCCCUGUUUCCUUCUUAAACUGUAUCAAGAAUGGUUUUUCUCACCCUGGUAAAAUCUAUGCCACGUGAAUCUCAAAACCAUCUCCACCCCACAUCCCUCCAUUCUGAAAUACUCAUUUUCUCUUACAAUAUACCCCAUUUGAAAAUCUUAAUACCUUCUUUGUUUUUUUAAAAGAAAACAUCUAUCUUCUCUCCCUUUUAUAGAGUUUUUAAAUCCUUCUCUAGUUUCUAGCUGUUAAAACAAUAGGUCUUAGCCUCGCUGAGAAAAUGUACGAUUAUGUUGCAAGACUGAAUCAGUUUUAUCUCUUACUGUACACGUCCGUUUCCUCUUAUUGUAGAAUCACCAACCUUAAGACCCUGGAGAGCUAAGGUGCUUAGUUAUGUUUUGAUUUAUUUCCUGUCACCCCAUGCAAACCUAAAAUCCUAGGAUCAAAGACUGAUUUUAGUGUUUCUUUUGGGCGGUGGGACAGGGGCGAUAAAUGACUGUUUAUCAAGACCUCCCCUGUGGAAGAGGACCAGUGCCAUUUUCAGGGGUGACACUUAAUGACAGUCCUUGCGAAUGGCGACCCUGAAGUCUGGGUCCAGUACAGCUGGCAGUCCUUUUGCAGAUUUAGCGCAUCUUCCCUCGUGCUGCUGUCACAGUCCUCCUAUGAAUUAUGUCCUUCCAUGGCAAACAUUCUCAAAAUAAUUGUCCGUAUUUGCCACUGCUACUUCCUUUCCUGUACUUCAUGACUCUCCUUCAAAACACUCCCUCCCUCUGAAUUUUUCUGAUGCUAUUUUUUUUAAAGAAAUUCAUUGACAAAAUGUACAAGUAAUAUUAGUUUUCCUUAUUGUUUGAUUGGCUCUUUCUAGAAAUCUCUUCCCUCUUAUUUUUUCAGUUUCACUUUGGCCUGUAUUGAAUGCUGGGCAGAGUUUGGGUGACAGGCAUGGUGACAGCUGAUCCUUCCCCAAAGUCUCCAUUUUUCCAGUUCUGGGUGUUCUUUCUGUUCUAUUCCUCUAAGUGUUCUAUUCCCAUCACAUUUAAUGUGCUGCCCUUGGCUCUUUUCUGGAAAAGGUUUUGGAGAGUUCAUCCGCUUCCAAGAUUUUGUCUAAUGCACUGUGUGGAUGCAGAGCUUAUCUUUAUUUCUAGCCUCACACUCUUUCAAGUUCUGGCCUUUCAUUGUUCACUCCCUACUCGUGGUCAUCUUUAACUGGCAAGCCCUCUGGUGUUCCAGACUCAGCAGGGAUGAUGGCAAACUCAUCCUCUCUUCUCAAAGCAGUCUCUAAUUUCAACUCUUUAUUUAAAGGCUGUCCAACCUCUCCAUCACCCAAGCAUUAUAUCUCAGAUUAAACUAGCUAUAAAACACGGAGAGUGGCCUAUGGAGGUAAUCAUUUUUCAACUUGUAAAUGUGUCAAAUCAACACAUUUUACAUUUACACAAUGUUAUGAAUCAAUUAUAUCUCACUGAAUCUGGGGGUGGGGAGAAGAAAAAUUAUGUGCAGCGGUUUAGUGCAGUGGUUCUCAAACUUUAGUGAGGGCAUAUCCUCUUGUGUGGAAAUACAUACAGGUUGAGCCCCUCUCUAAGAGUUUCUGGUUCUGAAGGUCUGGGCUGGGACCUGAGACUUUGCUUUAGAAAACAAGGUUCAGGUGAUACCGAUGCUGCUGACCCAAGGAGCUGGUUUAGUGCAGGAGUCUGCAGCCAGACUGAGAAAGGCUUAAACUUUUUCUCAAUCACAUGCAUCAAGCAUGAAUCCUGGAGUCUUUGCCUGAUGUCUCCAUGCUUCAGAUUCCUGUUCUGUAAACUGAGGAUAAUUAAAGUAUCUACCUCAUUAGAAUUUUCCGACAACUGAACGAGUUAAUACUUUAAAUGUCCAUACCCAUUUGGGGCAGACCCCUAAAACCUGUUUGCUGUAAUUGUACCACUUUCACUCCUCUUUUCUUUUCCUUAUUCCCUGUGACUGAUUAUUCCCCAGGCUCUAACAACCUGGGCUUCUGAAUAAGUCUGUUUCCAUCUCAUUACUGCCAUGGCUGGGAUCAAGUGCAUAAUCACAUUGUCAUUCACUUGACUCUAAUCAUUGGCAUUUAACUCGUUAGUGCUGUCUCUGUUUCUCAUCCCUGCUCUCCACACUUUGUUCUGUUGCCAGGUUCUACCUUAAUUCUUUUUAAGCAACUAUUAUAUAUAGACUGCUGCAUUGCUCAGAAAGAACAUUUUGAAUAUAUAAAGCAUUUAGCAUCUUCCCUGGCACCUUGUCUAUUCACAUUUUCACCUCAGUACUCCAUACACAGCAUUUAUGAUACAGUUUGUUUUUCUAAACUCUUUGCUUUCCUGAUAUUGUGCUUUCUUUAAUAAAAUAUGUCCUUUGUCUCAUUACCACAAAGCAGAAUAUUACUUAUUCUUCAAAGCCUGGUUAACUUUUGUUUCCCCAUCAAAGGUAUAGCAAAUUGGUUUCAUUCCUUAUGACAAUGCUGGCUGAUUGAUGGUAGCUUCUUGGGGAAAUUAUAAGGAUCCUGAGGUCAAGACUUGCUUGGGAACAGUAGGAAAUAAUGUCAUGGUUCAUGAGCAGCCUCUGCCACAGACCCAGGUUGAGUGCAUGGAAGCAUCUGUAUUAAGUGUUGUCUCCCUUGCCAUGCAGCAUAUUUUAUACUCUAAAUGUUUGAUGCAUAUUGGAAAAUUCAAAAUAAAUAGACACACUUUGAGUUAUCAAUUUUAAUUUUACUCUGAUUAUAAUAGCUAUUUUUCCCUUAGGCAUUCUAAGAUGAAAGCCAAACCUUACCUCAGAGAAUGAUACCAAUAGGCAGAGAAUCAGAACUGGGAUGAAGACAAGACUUCCCUACUUUGAUUUGAGAAUAUAACAACUGGAUCAUGGGAAAUCAUCUGGUUUGGGCUAGUAGCUGCUGUAUUGGGAAUGAGCUCUUAGAUUUUGAGGCAUAAGGUGCCAGGCUAAAGGUUGAGGGGGAAUUCUCCCACAAGACCUAGAAGAAUACAGGCUCUUGGAGAUGUCUAUUCAUGGGGAAGCCUCGGUUUAAUUUGUGCAAAGUAGUUGAGUGAUGCAUAAAUCCCAGCUCCACCACCUUCUAGGUGUGUAAUUUGGGCAGCCAUUAACCUCUUUGAGCUUUGGCUUUAUUCUCUUAAAAACAGAGUUCACAGUGCUACCUCUCAGGACUGCUAUAAAAAUUAAAGGAAAAUAUGUAUAUAGAAGAUUUAGUAUAGUAUUUGGCUCAAUAAUUAAUAGCUGCUCUUAUGAAUAUUGUAUGGAAUAGUGAUCAAGACAGUCUCUUUAAAGCUAUUAAGACUCCUUUGCCUCUUAUCCCUAAUUUCUAACUUUGCUGUAAAAAACAUAGGAGAUGAUGAAAUGACCCCUUGGCUAAAUGUUAUACAUAACACCACAACUGCUAACUAAUUAACUCUAAUUGAUUGGAGUCAUGUAAACAAUACUGCUGAUUUACUGUUGUUCCCCACCAACUAGCAAGAACUGAUGCUGUGAAGAUAGAACCUUGGUGCAUCUACUAGAUUUACUCUAUCAAAUUUAAAGGAGGAAUAGUGUGCCUGCUAUUUAGAAUGUUAUGUCUUUCUAAAGAUAUCUAUUCGCUUAGAUUAACAGAGUUUAUAUGUUAGGUGUUUGGGGUCAUCUUAUUCCUUUCCUGAUAUAUAUAUAUUAUUAUAUAUCUGGAAAUACAUGUUCAGAAACACAGUCAUUUUUUCAUUAAAUGAAUGUUGGGGUAUUUUCUGGAGCCAGUGUCUGUUCUAGACAAUAGAGCCACAACAGUGUACAAAAAAGAUAAACCCACUAUUCUUAUGGAGAUUAUCUUCUGGAAAUAGAAGUUGGACAACGGACAAGGGAGCCAGUAAGCAACCAUCUUGUAAUUUUAUAUGUUUGUGUUUUCUGUUAGGGAAAUAAGAUAGAAUAGAGGUGAUCUGGGUGAGCUGUGAGUGACCAUUUUUGGAUUGUGGGGAAAACUGUAUCUUCUGCUGAUUCAUGGAUACAUUGAUGAUGGUAAAGAAUGAGCCAAAAAAAAAAAAAAAAAAAAAAAAAAAA
rnacentral:lncRNA from 1 species